GGACUACUCGGGUUUCUAAUCCCGUUCGCUCCCCCAGCUUUCGCGCCUCAGCGUCAAGAGUGCCCCAGGAGACCGCCUUCGCCACUGGUGUUCCUACCGAUCUCUACGCAUUUCACCGCUACACCGGUAAUUCCAUCUCCCCCUAGCACCUUCAAGAAAACCAGUAUCCACCGACCCUCCGGAGUUGAGCUCCGGGCUUUCACAGCGGACUUGGCUCCCCGCCUACGCGCGCUUUACGCCCAGUAACUUCGGACAACGCUAGCCCCCUACGUAUUACCGCGGCUGCUGGCAC
rnacentral:rRNA from 1 species